UUCUCUUUCUCAAAUACUUCUAAGUUUUCCUGCAAAGUAUUCGAGUUUGUUUUGCUGAAGUCCUGAGUUGAUUUUUCUUUGUUUACCUAUGGCUACAAGUGUUCUGCUCCUCUUUGUGUUUAUUUUGCAACAGGUAUGUCCCUUUAGUUUAAUAUUGCCUCUUCCCUACGUGUUUAAAUUUCAGUUCUUUCGUGUGUUUACUUUAC
rnacentral:lncRNA from 1 species